GUUGGAAGAAAGGUAAUCGCCAUAAGUUUUUACUUGUGGAGGAAAGUCUGGACUUUACAGGAUGGGAUACCAGUGAAAGACUGGGGGCCGCAAGGCUACGGAAAGUGCAACAGAAACUAUACCGCUAAUAUUUCUCUAAGGGGAAAUUUUAGACAGGCUGAAACGGUGGGCUUUAUGAGUCCACUUGAUCUACCGAGAGGUAGGCAAUUGUAAACCCUAUCCAAAGCAAGAUAUCUCACUCGAUCUAAUAUAAGGCUCCAUCCGGCCCUAGAUCACCGAGAAUAAAAUCGCUCGAGGUUGAAAGCAAUUUCAAUCCUAGAUGAAUGAUUACCCGCUAGCUUUUAGCAGCGACAAAAUCCGGCUUAUUGACUUCAAUUUUAG
rnacentral:RNase_P_RNA from 1 species